rnacentral:lncRNA from 1 species
GGGACUGCAACAGAAGAUUAUAUGAUGGAGAUAGACACCAGAUAAGACACAGAGACCGCAACAGAAGAUUAUAUGAUGGAGAUAGACACCAGAUAAGACACAGGGACCGCAACAGAAGAUUAUAUGAUGGAGAUAGACACCAGAUAAAACACAGAGACAGCAACAGAAGAGAAGGAUAUGAUGGAGAGAGACACACCAGACAAUACAUAGAGACAGCAACAGAAGUAUAGGGUAUGAUGGAAAGAGACACCAGAAGAACAGAACUGGCCAUAACAGAAGAAAAUAGACAAAGGCGAAAGUAACAAUCAAGAACCCAAGACAGCAACAGACAAGACACAGACAGCAACAGACAAGACAUAGGGAAAGUGACAGAAGAGGGCAGAUGGAGAGAGAACAGAGUUUUACACUUUUUACAGCCGGGACAGGACGAGAGAGGAGGGUGGACAAGAGACAGCAACAUAAGUCUAAGAGACAGCAACAGAAGAGGGCAGACAAGAGAGACAGCGUCAGAUGAAACAGAGAAAGCGAUGGAGAGAGGCAGAGGAGGGGACCUGAGCCCUAGGACCAUGCCUCAGGACUACCUGGCCUGAUGACUCCUUGCUGUCCCCAGUCCACCUGGCCGUGCUGCUGCUCCAGUUUCAACUGUUCUGCCUGCAGCUAUGGAACACUGACCUGUUCACCGGACAUGCUACCUGUCCCAGACCUGCUGUUUUCAACUCUCUAGAGACAGCAGGAGUGGUAGAGAUACUCUGAAUGAUCGGCUGUGAAAAGCCAACUGACAUUUACUCCUGAGGUGCUGACUUGUCGCACCCUCGACAACCACUGUGAUUAUUAUUAUUUGACCCUGUUGGUCAUCUAUGAACAUUUGAACAUCUUGGCCAUGUUCUGUUAUAAUCUCCAUCCGGCACAGCCAGAAGAGGACUGGCCACCCCUCAUAGUCUGGUUCCUCUCUAGGUUUCUUACUAGGUUCUGGCCUUUCUAGGAAGUUUUUCCUAGUCACCGUGCUUCUACACCUGCAUUGAUUGCUGUUUGGGGUUUUAGGCUGUGUUUCUGUACAGUACUCUGUGACAUCAGCUGAUGUAAGAAGGGCUUUAUAAAUACAUUUGAUUGAUUUGAUUGAUUGUCUGAUGAAACAGAAAUAGAACUGUUUGGCCAUAAUGACCAUC